UUUAAAUACUAAGCAAACUGAAACAUCUUACUAGCUUUAGGAAUAAAAAUCAAACGAGAUUUUGCAAGUAAUGGCGAUUGAAAACAAAUUAGAAAUAACUUAAUAAAUUUAUAAAAAUUUGAAAAAAUUUACCUUAGAAGGUUAAAGUCCUAGUAUUAAAUUUAUUUUGUCUUUUAUAAAGUAUCAAGAAUUUUUCUUGUGAAUCUAGUGGUACCUUCCUCUUUUUCUAAAUACUCUUUUAUAACCAAUAGUGAAUAAGUACUUUAUAGGAAAGUUGAAAAAAAUUCUUUAGCAGAAAGUGAAAUAGAAUCUAAAAUUUGAUAUUUACUUCUUGUUGAUAUUUCGUAUUACGAAACAACGACGUGCCUUUUGUAUCAUGAAUUAGCAAGUUUAUUAUAGUAGCAAGCUUAAAAUUAUCUUUGAAAGCGUAGUGAUAACAAGCAUAAAUACGAAAUAGUUACUUUAAUAAGACCCGAAUCUAAGUGAUCUAACUAUGAACAAGUUGAAAAUAUAUGAAAAUAUAUAGAAAGACUACACUCGUUGCUGUUGCAAAAGCUUGGGAUGAUUUGUAGUUAGGGGUGAAAGGCCAAUCAAACUUAGUUAUAGCUGGUUUUUUGCGAAAAAUAUUUAGGUAUUGCGUAAACAAAAAAAAAUAAAGGGUAAAGCUCUUUUUUGUUUAAAAAGAUUUAUUAUCUUAUAACAACAUUAUAAACUAAGAAUAUUUAUUUUUUUGUUUGCAGUCAGACUAUGGGUGCUAAGAUUCAUAGUCAAAAGGGAUACAGCCCAGAUUAUAAGUUAAGGCCCUUAAACAGUAUAGUUUUAAGGUGACUUCAAAAUUACGAUAAUCAGAAGGUAGGCUUGGAAUCAGCCAUCCUUUAAAAAAUGCGUAACAGCAUACUGACUGAAUGCAAUUUUGAUUACUUUAAAUUCAAGGUAAAUAUACUUGCCGAAGCUAUAAACUUUUAAAGAGUGGUAGCAAAACGUUUUUAUCAGUUAAAAAAAAAUAGAGAUAUUUUUUGAAUGUAAAAAAGUGAAUAUGCUAAUAUUAGUAACGUUUUUAAUGUAUAAAUCAUUAACACCAUAAGUCAAAGGUUUUUUGUGUAAUUUUUCAACACAAAGUUAUUCGGUCUCUAAGAACUUAUACUAAAGUUAUUUUCGAUGAGUUUAUCAUUUGUUUAUUUAACUAUUGACAAUAAAGAUUAGUAGCUUUUUUUGUUUUCUUCGUUAUUUCUAGAAAAACAUGAUAUCAAUUACCGUACUGAACCAACACUGGAUGACUUUUUAAUACAAAGGUGAGUAGAAUAAUUAUUUUUAAGGAACUCGGCAAAUUUUUUCUGUAACUUCGGGAUAAAGAAAACCUAUAUAGGUCUAAAAAAGGGGAUAGCGACUGGUUACUAAAACCACAAGACUUUGCUAAAUUGAAAAAUGACGUAUAAGGUCUGAUGCCUGCCCAAUGUCGUAUUGUAAAAAAAAAUGAUUUAUGUUAUUUUUCUAAGCUUCGAUAAAUGGCAGUCGUAACUCUAACGAUUCAAAGGUAGCGAAAUUCCUAGUCAAUUAAUUGUUGACCCGCAUGAAUGGCAUAACGACUUUCCCACUGUCUCAAGAAUAACUCUAGUGAAUUUAGAUUUCGUGUGAAGAUACACAAACACAAAAGUAAGACGGAAAGACCCUAUAAACCUUUACUAUGAUUUUUUAUUGUUGAUGUAUAUGUUUUGUGUAGAAUAAGUGGAAGCUGUUAUUAAGCCUCAACUUUAUUGUUGAUUGCUGAAGCAAUAAUUGAAAUACCACUCUAAACAUAUUCAUUGACUCAUUUUUUUGACACUGAAAAUUUCAUAGUUUAACUGGGGCGGUAGUCUCCUAAAAUGUAACGGAGAUCUGCAAAAGCAAGUUCAAAUUCAAUUCAUUGAAUUGUAGAGUGUAAUGGCAUAAACUUGUUUGACUGGAAGAGUUACAACUCUACCAGAGACUUCAUGUCGGUCAUAAUGAUCCGAAAUUUAUACAUGGGUAUAAUUUCGCAUAAGGGAUAAAAGGUACUUUAGGGAUAACAGGCUUAUGAUUCUCGAGAGUUCAUAUCGACAGGAUCGUUUGGCACCUCGAUGUCGACUCUUCGCAUCCUGGAGCCGCAGAAGGUUCCAAAGGUUCGGCUGUUCGCCGAUUAAAGCGGAACGUGAGUUGGGUUUAGAACGUUGUAAAACAGUUUGGUCCCUAUCUGCUUUUGUUGUAAAAAAAGUGAAAAGAUUUAUCUUUAGUACGAGAGGACCAAGAUAAAACAACCUCUUAUAUUUCAAUUGUUUGCUGUAAAUAUUUGAUUUGUUAUGUUGUUUUUUUUAAUUACUGAAAACAUCAAUGUAAGAAAAAAACUUUAAAACAACUUUUUUAUAUG
rnacentral:rRNA from 1 species